rnacentral:rRNA from 1 species
GACGUAGGGCGCGAGCGUUGUCCGGAUUUAUUGGGCGUAAAGAGCUCGUAGGCGGCUUGUCGCGUCGAAUGUGAAAACUCGGGGCUCAACUCCGAGCUUGCAUUCGAUACGGGCAGGCUAGAGUUCGGUAGGGGAGACUGGAAUUCCUGGUGUAGCGGUGAAAUGCGCAGAUAUCAGGAGGAACACCGGUGGCGAAGGCGGGUCUCUGGGCCGAUACUGACGCUGAGGGGCGAAAGCGUGGGGAGCGAACAGG